AUUGAACGCUGGCGGCAGGCCUAACACAUGCAAGUCGAGCGGAUGAAGGGAGCUUGCUCCUGGAUUCAGCGGCGGACGGGUGAGUAAUGCCUAGGAAUCUGCCUGGUAGUGGGGGAUAACGUCCGGAAACGGGCGCUAAUACCGCAUACGUCCUGAGGGAGAAAGUGGGGGAUCUUCGGACCUCACGCUAUCAGAUGAGCCUAGGUCGGAUUAGCUAGUUGGUGGGGUAAAGGCCUACCAAGGCGACGAUCCGUAACUGGUCUGAGAGGAUGAUCAGUCACACUGGAACUGAGACACGGUCCAGACUCCUACGGGAGGCAGCAGUGGGGAAUAUUGGACAAUGGGCGAAAGCCUGAUCCAGCCAUGCCGCGUGUGUGAAGAAGGUCUUCGGAUUGUAAAGCACUUUAAGUUGGGAGGAAGGGCAGUAAGUUUAUACCUUGCUGUUUUGACGUUACCAACAGAAUAAGCACCGGCUAACUUCGUG
rnacentral:rRNA from 1 species